ACAGUGACACUAUAAAGGUACUAGUGUGGGAAAAUACACACAGCAGAGAGCUUACAAGUACUAAGUGUUAAAAGAGGGCUUUUUGGAUGACAAGUAAGUAAUAAACUAGCAUAAUAGUGUGAAAUAUACAAAACUUAAAGGAAAGAACCACUGAAGCACAAACAAAACACAAAGAGGAGAAAUAAAAUAAAUACCACUGAAGAAAGGGUUCAGAGGUGCUGAGACGCUCAGAGUUAACUGUCACGCUGAGGAGGGAAACACCAGCUGCAUGCCAAGCAGUGCAAAGACCACAAUGAAGAGGAAGAGGAGGAAGAGCAAGCUGAUGAUGGACUUCAUGGAGUUCAGCAGAGACACCACUAGGUUCCUCAAGGAGGCCCAGUAUCUAAAAAUAAAGAAGAAAAUGAAGAGGACUCAGGACAAUGAAGAGUUCUGUUUGAAGCCCCAUGUAGGCUUGUGAGAUGGUGUGUAAAAUGACACCACCCUUUUAUGCCCCCGUAUGGAUCGCUGAUUGACCACAAGAGGCUCUGAGAAGGGGAAAGAAGGACGUAGCAAGACGUAUGUAUGUAACGUGUCCUACGGGUGAGAUGGCUAUAGCUGAAAUCUCUAGCAUUAGUGUUAAGUCAGGGUAGUUGUUGGUUUUUUGCUUAAUAUCCCAAUAAUAUUUUCACAUAAACAUUUAAACUUGUCAGUAAUAACAAUAGAAGGAAACUGUCACAGAUUCCUGAACCCAUCAUCAGUCAUCCCUCGCCGAGCUCUUCAUCUUUACUGACAGCACUUCAUCCUUCUCUGCACAAAGACUGAGCUCUUUACUUCAGUCUCGUUCACAUUACACUACGGUUUGUAAACGUCCACACAAAGGAUGUAACUGAUAUGAAAACGAUAAUGCAUCCUAAACAAAUAGAAUAAGACAAAGAAGAAAAACAACAAAUAAAGAAGAUACAGGAUUCUUUUCUGUGACGUUUUAGAAAGAUUGUGAGAAACUACAGACGGGAUGUGAAACAGGACCUUUGUGUUUAAAGCUAAGAUCGUUUGCAGGUUUCAUAAACACCUAUAUCUCAAACACCACACAAAAAGACUUCAAAUAUCAUCAAAAUGUUUGGGAGCAGGAAAAGGCAGCAUGUUUAUGAGUAUCAUAUAAACUGGAGACAAUCUGUUCUUUUUUUAUCAUCACUGGUUUGCCCCAGUAUGCAAAGUGUUUUACUGAGAACCAAAAUAAAG